CGAGGCCGGGGAAGGCUCGGUGUAAGCGUGCGUCGCGAGAUGGCGGCAAAGGAGCUCCAGUGCGCUUCGGUGAGGGCUAGCGACCAAACCUGGGCACUAGAGAAGGAAGGAGAUGGCUUGGUGACCUCGCAGGAACAACACGAAGCUCGGCACGCGGUUGUUGACAGUCUUGACGCAGCAGACGAUGAGGGUCACGGCGGCGGCCGUAACUAGCGCCUCGGCGAGAUCCGAAAUAGGGCUAGGCGUUCUCGCGAUGACCGAGAGAGCAAAAAUAAACGCAGAGGGGAGACUGGGGAACUUUAUAGAGGCAAGGGAGAUCUUCUCGCAGGGAUAAUCCCGUGGGAAUCGGGAUUCGGCUCCCGUUCGCUCGGGCCGUGUCCUGCUUGGACACGCAAAGAAGAAGAAGGGAAAGGGGAAGGAGUCACUGACGUCUUAGUCCCACUGGUCAGCGACACAGGGAGUGGGGUCGGCCUGUCGGUGGGAAGGGCGUGCUGGCUGCCUGCUGCGGCGCAUGGGGCGGGUGCGAACUGGGCCGUGCGUGGAGGAGAGGGGGAAAGGAAGGGCGCGGGGCUGGGGAUGGGAGUGGGCCGAGGGCCAGGAUAGGGAGAGGGAGAGUUUUGUUUUUUUUAUUUUUUUUCUAUUUCUAUUUCUUUUAUUCCAAAUCCAUUUUCAAAUCUAUUUUAAAAAUCACUUUGAAAUACUUUUGAACUUUAGUCAAACCACUCAAGUCAACAAAAAUUAAUGCAAAAGCAUGAAUGCACAACAAGUUGCUUGGUCCUAUGAUAAAUUUUAUUUUACUGAAAAAUAUUAUUUUUCCUAUGUUUCAUGAACACAAAAAUUCAUAAAUAAAUCAUUUUAGCUCUAUUUUCCAAGGAAACAAUUUUUAGGGUGUUACAAAUCUACCCCCCUUAAAAUGAAUCUCGUCCUCGAGAUUCGGAAGAGCACGUAUUCCAAAAGAGAAACAGGAAAAGAUCUUAGUACUCUUUCAACUUCACACUUGCAUUCCAUUUGCAAACACUUGUGUCUCAGGAUCAUAACUUAUGAACAAAGUUUCCAUAGGAUGUUUAUUAUUCAUAAUUGAUCAAAGUCUAUCUUGAAUCCCAACCUUUUGACUUACAACUCAAAGUCAGGAUAACUUGGCAUGGAUUUGCCUCCUCAGGUAGGAGUGGACCACCUUGAUACUCAAUUCUUUUCCCUGAUGGUGCGGUUAAGAAGGAAAAAAAAAUUCCACUGGGUAGCAUAGAUCACUCCUCUGGGUGCACAUCACCAUGAGAUAUCUCAGAAGACAGUUAUCACUUCAUGCUAGUUUUAAAAUGCAUCAUCCGUGAUAUCAAGGUGCUACCCCCCUUAAGUUGAGAUUGAUUGAGGGACAGUAGGGACUAGUUCUCCUAUCCUUUUUGAAUGCUACACAUCAUAGUCUUUUAAAUUUGCUUGUGCCGAGUCUCUUAAUAACAGGUUACGUUCCUCACUAAGUUCCAAUUAUCAGUACCUUUAUCUUAGUUAAGUUGCUUCACUCUCACUUUGUACAUAUAGCUUUGUAAACUUUGGUGUCAUCUGAUCCUCAUAAACACAACUCUCAAUCCAUGAGUAUCAGCAAUGACAUAUAUCUCUGUUAAUAUUCUGAUACCUUGAAUCCAAAAAC
rnacentral:lncRNA from 1 species